UACGUAGGGUGCAAGCGUUAAUCGGAAUUACUGGGCGUAAAGCGUGCGCAGGCGGUUUUGUAAGACAGUCGUGAAAUCCCCGGGCUCAACCUGGGAAUUGCGAUUGUGACUGCAAGGCUGGAGUGCGGCAGAGGGGGAUGGAAUUCCGCGUGUAGCAGUGAAAUGCGUAGAUAUGCGGAGGAACACCGAUGGCGAAGGCAGCCCCCUGGGUCGACACUGACGCUCAUGCACGAAAGCGUGGGGAGCAAAC
rnacentral:rRNA from 1 species